UAAAGGCAUGCACCACCAUGUCCGGCCAUAUUUAUCUUUUUCUAUGCUAUCUGUGUUGUUUUUCUAUAUCUCACACAUCUUGAUGUAGAAAAUGUCAUACAAGCAUAAUAUUUGUGGAUGAUGUAAGUCAUUACUCUUUAAAGCUCAAGUCAUUAAUGGUCUAUUAAAAGACUGCAGCACUUUGAAAUGACAUUUUAAUUCUUUGUUUUAGAGUAACAUAGGUGCAGGGGAUGAGAUCUGAAUGAGGCUGGAGACAUGCCUUCCCACCAGCCACAGUUCCUGAUUUUUUUGCUCACGGUGCUUAUUUAUUGAGAUAAGCCCCAGCCUCUUUGGAUGCACAGCUGCAUCGUGCACAUGGAAACCCCUUCUGAGCCAACAAUGAGUGCACAAGAUGAAAGCCUGUCUCUGAUCCAGCUAUGCUUUGUUAGGGUUGUAGUAGUAGCACUUGGGAUACAGACUCAUGAGAACCAGGAGUUCAAGGUCAUCCUCAGCUACCUAUGGAGUUCAAGGUCAGCAGGAGCUAUAUUAUAUCUCAUUUCAAAAAGCCAAAUAUGGAUUCAAGUUAAAAUGAAACUAAAUUGGAAAUCUCAUUGUAUUAGUCAAGGUUCUCUAGAGAACAGAACUGAUAGAGUGAAUAUAUAUUCAUAUUAUG
rnacentral:lncRNA from 1 species